rnacentral:rRNA from 1 species
AUUGAACGCUGGCGGCAUGCCUUACACAUGCAAGUCGAACGGCAGCACGGGGCAACCUGGUGGCGAGUGGCGAACGGGUGAGUAAUGCAUCGGAACGUGCCAUUGAGUGGGGGAUAACGUAGCGAAAGUUGCGCUAAUACCGCAUAUUCUGUGAGCAGGAAAGCAGGGGACCGCAAGGCCUUGCGCUCUUUGAGCGGCCGAUGUCAGAUUAGCUAAUUGGUGAGGUAACGGCUUACCAAGGCGACGAUCUGUAGCGGGUCUGAGAGGAUGAUCCGCCACACUGGAACUGAGACACGGUCCAGACUCCUACGGGAGGCAGCAGUGGGGGAAUUUUGGACAAUGGGCGCAAGCCUGAUCCAGCCAUGCCGCGUGAGUGAAGAAGGCC